GUUCAAUCUGAAACGUUUGUGAAAGUUGUAUUAAUUAUUAUCUGCUCUUACUUAUAUCUCUUUUAAAAAAUUACUGUAUCUGAAGCAUUUCUUCAAUUUUUUGUAAUGCAUGGUUGAAUACCCGUUUAACAUAAAUAUCAUUUUCUAUAACAAUAAAAUAAUACUGAAGUGUUUAGCAGAUAAAAGUCAAGAAACUAUAUGAAAUAUUCUUAUAUUGUUUACCUCAUUUUCUGAUCGAAGUGACAUGAGAUCUUCAACACGAAUUGGUUUUCCCUGAUUUAAGAUGGAGGACUAGUAUAAUAAUAUGAUGGUGAUGAAACCAUAUAAGGUCUACUAGCAUCUCCCUUGGACCGUGGUGUAACAGGCGGAGGAC